GCACAAUGGUCCUUAACCCCUCAACACAAGCAGGCUGCUCUUGGGCGGGAAGAGGGGGCUUUGGCAGGUGGAUUCAGACGUUGCUAUUGUCAGACCAUAGAACAGAGUCUCGUUAAGGACUGAGUUGUGUGUCUCACAACCCCGAAUUCCUAAUUCAGAGUCCCAAUCCCAGAACCUCAGAAUGUGACCUUAUUUGGAGACACUGUCUUUCGGAAAUCCUCAAAGUAAAAUGAGUCCAUAUGGAUGGGCCCUAAUCCUACAUGACUGGAGUCCUUAUAAAAAGAAGAGUUACGGACACAGGCAGAGAAGGACAACCCUGUGCAGACACAGGAAGAAGAUGGUCAGCCACAAGCCAAGCAGAGAGGCCUCAGGGGAGACCAACCCUGUGAAUAUCCUGAUCUUGAUCCCUCCAGAGAUGUGAGGGAUAAAUAAAUGUUAGAGCUGA